rnacentral:rRNA from 1 species
UACGGAGGGUGCGAGCGUUGUCCGGAAUCAUUGGGCGUAAAGGGCGCGUAGGCGGCUUCUCAAGCGUGCGGUGAAAGUCAGGGGCUCAACCCCUGAUCGGCCGUGCGAACUGGGGGGCUGGGGCACUGUAGAGGCAGGCGGAAUUCCGGGUGUAGCGGUGGAAUGCGUAGAGAUCCGGAAGAACACCGGUGGCGAAGGCGGCCUGCUGGGCAGUGGCUGACGCUGAGGCGCGACAGCGUGGGGAGCAAACAGG